UACGAAGGGUGCAAGCGUUACUCGGAAUUACUGGGCGUAAAGCGUGCGUAGGUGGUGAGUUAAGUCUGUCGUGAAAGCCCCGGGCUCAACCCGGGAAUGGCGAUGGAUACUGGCUCGCUAGAGUGCGGUAGAGGGUGGUGGAAUUCCCGGUGUAGCAGUGGAAUGCGCAGAUAUCAGGAGGAACACCAAUGGCGAAGGCAGCUCGCUGGGACGGUACUGACGCUGAGGCGCGAAAGCGUGGGGAGCAAACAGG
rnacentral:rRNA from 1 species